UUUAAAAACUAGGUCUGUAUUUCUGGUUAGGUUCCACAGUGGCAGAACUCAGGAGCUAUACUAUAUCCAACCUGGUCUCCAGCUCAGCUUGCCUCCCUCCCUCCCACAAGAUAACAAUGUACAAAACUAUAUUUACAGGAAAACCAGUUAAAAAUUAAGGGUGUGUACAAAGGUAGACAAGAGAACCAGAAAUAUCAAUGCAGGGAA